UACGAAGGGGGCUAGCGUUGCUCGGAAUCACUGGGCGUAAAGCGUGCGCAGGCGGUUUGUUAAGUCUGCUGUGAAAUCCCCGAGCUCAACUUGGGAAUUGCAGUGGAUACUGGCAAGCUGGAGUACGGUAGAGGAAGGUGGAAUUCCCGGUGUAGCAGUGAAAUGCGUAGAGAUCGGGAGGAACACCAGUGGCGAAGGCGGCCUUCUGGACCAGUACUGACGCUCAUGCACGAAAGCGUGGGGAGCAAACAGG
rnacentral:rRNA from 1 species